rnacentral:rRNA from 1 species
CUCUGUGACUCCUACGGGAGGCAGCAGUGGGGAAUAUUGCACAAUGGGGGAAACCCUGAUGCAGCCAUGCCGCGUGUGUGAAGAAGGCCUUCGGGUUGUAAAGCACUUUCAGUAGGGAGGAAGGUAGUGUAGUUAACACCUGCACUAUUUGACGUUACCUACAGAAGAAGCACCGGCUAACUCCGUGCCAGCAGCCGCGGUAAUACGGAGGGUGCGAGCGUUAAUCGGAAUUACUGGGCGUAAAGCGCAUGCAGGCGGCCUGUUAAGUCAGAUGUGAAAGCCCGGGGCUUAACCUCGGAAUUGCAUUUGAAACUGGCAGGCUAGAGUCUUGUAGAGGGGGUAGAAUUUCAGGUGUAGCGGUGAAAUGCGUAGAGAUCUGAAGGAAUACCAGUGGCGAAGGCGGCCCCCUGGACAAAGACUGACGCUCAGAUGCGAAAGCGUGGGUAGCGAACAGGAUUAGAUACCCUGGUAG